AUACGGAGGAUGCGAGCGUUAUCCGGAUUUAUUGGGUUUAAAGGGUGCGUAGGCGGGCUGUCAAGUCUGUGGUGAAAAGUCAGGGCUUAACCUUGAUCGUGCCGCGGAAACUGACGGUCUUGAAUAGGGAUGCCGUUGGCGGAAUGUGGAGUGUAGCGGUGAAAUGCAUAGAUAUUCCACAGAACACCGAUUGCGAAGGCGUCUGCCGAAUCCCCGAUUGUCGCUGAUGCACGAAAGUUCGGGUAUCGACCAGGUUUAGAUACCCUGGUAGUCCGCACAGUAAGCGAUGAUAACUAGUUGUUGGCGAUAAACAGAUCAGUACCUGAGGGAAAGCGUUAAGUUAUCCACCUGGGGAGUACGGUCGCAAGGUUGAAGCUCAAAGGAAUUGACGAGG
rnacentral:rRNA from 1 species